GUGUAAAUCCAAACCGCUUCCAACUCAAGGUCUGGAAGCUCCGAGUUUAUCUUGGGAACUCAAGAGGAGAGGAUCACCCAGUUCACAGGUAUUUGAGGAUACAAACCCAUUGCUGGGCUCGGCUUUAAAAGUCUUAUCUGAAAUUCCUUGUGAAACAGAGUUUCAUCAAAGCCAAUCCAAAAGGCCUAUGUAAAAAUAACCAUUCUUGCUGCACUUUAUGCAAAUAAUCAGGCCAAAUAUAAGACUACAGUUUAUUUACAAUUUGUUUUUACCAAAAAUGAGGACUAGAGAGAAAAAUGGUGCUCCAAAGCUUAUCAUACAUUUGUCAUUAAGUCCUAGUCUCAUUAAUUGUUUUCAAGCUUUUCGCCUACAUUUUAGACUAACCCUGCUUAUUCCUGUGAAUCAAGUAGUGGUCUCCUGCAGCUUGGAAGAAAAAAUAAGGGAUGGGUAAUGUAAAAAUCUGGAUCAAUAUACUGGUUCUGGGCAAUUAUCCUGCAAAUUCUGCCAGGUAAUAAAAGUGAGUAGGGUGCCCAUAAUCCGGAAGUUUCUUUGUUUAGGAAAAUAAAAACAAGGAACUUCAUAGACCCCCCCCAAAGGGGAAUUCUAUAUCUUGACAAGUAAAAUUUUAGAUGGAAAUUAUCUACAACACCACACUUACGGAAAUUGCUAUCCUCACUCUAUUAUUUGCAAAAGGGUUAUACACAGUAGCACCUUCUAACUGAAGUAUUAAACAGAGUUUCCAUUGCUGUCGUAUUUUGCUUAAUUAUUAUCCUUAUAGCAGGGAUAAUAGUUACUAACAAAAAGGAAGCAUGAAAGUUUUACUAUCACUGAGCCUGGUAGGACUUUUUAUUGGGUUUAGUGAUGCAGUUUUAAAUGAAACAUGCCGCUUUUGGAUUAAUACCUCUAGUAAAGGAAAAUUUACAGAUACUUAAAAAUCAAAUCAAAAUUAUUGAUAGGCUCAGGAAAAAUGCCAGCUUCAGCCCUGAGUGGCUACAAACCCUCUUUAAUAAAUUCCAGUCUUCUUUAUGGAAUUGGUUAACGCCUUUAUUAAGCCCUCUCUUGCUUAUAUGUCUUGUAUUGAUAUUUGGACUCUGUAUAUACAAUACUAUAACUCGAAUUGUUUCUUCUCGCCUAGAAGCAAUCAAACUCCAAAUGGUGCUGUAAACUGAACCACACAUGGACAGGCCAUUCUUCCGAGGACCCUUAGAUUGAUCCCAGGGGGAGCCCUAGCUGCUAUUCCCCAUUCAACGCCCCUUUUCAGCAGGAAGUAGCCAGAAGGAGUCGCCGCCCAAAAUCCCCUAACAGCAGUUAGUGUGGCAUCUCCACAGGAAGUAAUGUUGUAGGAGUUACUAAGAAAUUAUUUUAGGCAGAUAGAGAGGAAAAGGGGUCCUUGGGAAGUUUUCAUUUUUUAAAGCAUCUCUGGAAAAGUUUCUUGUAAAGCCCCGGCUCUUAGAGCCAGGCUGGCAACCUUUGAUAUGCAAAUGUAAGCCAUUAGAAACCAGGUCCACCCAGGCCAGGUGUGGUGGCUCACGCCUGUAAUCCCAACACUUUGGGAAGCCUAGGCAGGUGGAUCACCUGAGGUCAGGAGUUCGAGACCAGCCUGGCCAACAUGGUGAAACCCCGCCUCUAAUAAAAACACAAAAAACUAGCCAGGUGUGCUGCUGUGUGUCUGUAAUUCCAGCUACUUGGGAGGCUGAGGCAGGAGAACUGCUUGAACCCAGGAGGCAGAGGUUGCAGUGAGCUGAGAUUGCAUCAUUGCACUCCAGCCUGGGCGACAGCAAGACUCUGUAAAAAAAAAAAAAAAAAAAAAAAAAAACAGCCAGGCGUGGUAGCACGCCUGUAGUCCCAGCUACUUGGGAGGCUGAGAUGGGAGGAUCACCCUCGACUGGGGAAGUUGAGGCUGCAGUGAGCUGAAAUCGCACCACUGCACUCCAGCCUGGGUGACAGACUGAGACCCUGUCAAAUAAAUAAUGUAUGUAUGUAUAUAUGUAUGUAUGUAUGUUAACCUCAUCCCAAAACAUCCUCACAGAACAUCCAGAAUAAUGUUUGACCAAAUAUCUGGGCACCAAUGGCACAUUCAAGUUGACACAUAAAAUUAACCCUCACAAUACCGUACUGUACAACUUUUGGAGUGAAGCUGGAAUGUCAUCGCAUUUCCAAGACUAACUCAGUGUCCACAAAUGAUGCUUAAGUCAUGAGGAUCAUCUCGGAUUUGGAUUUGGAUGCCUGUCAAGCCCUCACUCUUCAGACUAAAUGUCUGAUUUGCAUGGAGAAUUAUCAAGAGAAGCAACAAUGCCAAGCAGACUAUUCCAGGUCAAAAUAGUCAAAUUAAUAAUUCAUAAAUUAUUAUAUGUUUUGAAGGUAUUGCAAAAUUAAAGUUGCAAGAACAGUACAGAUAACUUUUUUCCUGAACCAUUUGAGAGUAGGUUGCAGACCUGGUGCCCCAUCAUUUCUGAAUAUUUUAGUGUGCAUUUUCUACAAACAAGGACAUUUUCCAGCAUAACCACAAUGCACCCAUCAAUGUCGUGAAAUUAAUGUUGGUACAUUACUACCACCUAGUCCUCAGACCCUAUUCAAAUUAUACCAGUUAUCAUAAUAGUUUCUUAUAAUUUAUAGCAAAAUGAUCCAAACCAGGAGCAUGCAUUGCAUUUUUAUGAAUUUUUAAAACAAUUAAGUCUGUGUAGUGAGUGAAGCCACAGUGAUAGGAAUAUAUAAAGGCUUUGCAUCUAGAAUUUGUUCUGAAAACCCUGAGAUUCAAGUAGUACAUUAUUUCAUUUACUAUUUUACACAGAGAAGCCCUCAUUUUUAAGAGUUUGCCUUUCUGAUUUCCACCGGAAAUGAUACUAUCAGUAUCAUACUCAGAAUCUUAAUUACAUACAAGGCACUAACCUCUCACCUGUUUUCAGCUUUGUGUAAAGACAAGGGAUCAAAACAUCCCUUUCUGCUAUUUCAUACUUAAGUGUGGGAGCUGAUCCAAAGGAAGAAUAGUUUCAAAAGUUUGUAGCAAAAAAAAUUUAAAAGGUGAAGAUUUUUUCCUUGAAUGAUUCUCACCUGGCAGAUCUAUGGAAAGAUUAGCUGACUCUUUGGAUCCCUGAAUAUAGUUAAUAGAAAUUUGGAAGGACCAUGUCAAAAUUAACUAAUGUGAACUGACAAAGAUUUGGUGUUCAAAGCAAAAAUUAAACUUUGGAAAAGUGAGCAAGUACUUAAUCAGAAACAAAAAAAAAAAAAAGAAAGGAAAAGUUAGGUGAAAAUGGUUUCCAGGUGUUGUUGCUGUUAUAGUUUGAAUCAUAAAAGUUGUUAAAAGUCUGCUGUAACAAACCAUCAUAGACUGGGUGACUUAUAAAGAACAAAAAUGUAUUUCUCACAGUUCCAGAGGCUGGGAAGUCUAAGAUCAAGGCAUCAGCAGAUUCAGUGUCUGGUGAGGGCCCACUUUCUGGUUCAUAGAUGGCACCUUCUCACUGUCUCCCCACGUGAUGGAAGGGGCAAGAGGUCUCUCUUGGUACUCUUUUAUUAAGGGCACUAAUCCCAUCCAUGGGGCUCCACCUUCAUGACCUAUUCAUCUCCCAGAGGCCCUACCUGCAGAUACCAUCGUAUGGGGGAUUUGAUUUCAGCCUGUGAAUUUGGGGGAAGCGGGACAAACAUUCGUUUUGUAGCAAAAGGAGUAGAGUAAUAUCUGCCAAUAACUGGAGGAAAGAAUUGUUCUUUUAAAACUAUUAAAUUGUUUAAUGGGAUUUAAAUGAUUUCAGGAAUGAAAUGGAAAUCCUGGUAAUGGGUAGAAACAUAGGUAAAUUCUCCUUUUCCACUUACCACCACCUGUGUGAACAACAAUCAUUUCUCAUUAAUAGUCAAGAAUUUGAAGAGAUCAUGAGUAAAAAGUCUUGAUCAGAAAUUGUGUAUAGCUGUUUCCAGCAUAAAACCUUAUAUAAAAUGCAUAUUCAUAGAAGAUGCUCAAGUAUGUCAUGAAAAAUAUGAAGUUUAUUUAAAUAUUUAUACAAAUUAAAGAUUUACUGUAUUCUCUAACAGCGCGUAUUUUCUUUUUUGUAAUAACUAUAUGAAAUAAAUACAAAGUAACACGUUUUUACCAAGCCCCCUUCCCAUCCUUCUCAUCACCCUCAAACUCCCUCCAAAUAGAGUCAGAGAAACAGCCAGAGGGAUGUCUCCACUGAGACACAGGGAGGUCUUGCACCCAGGCAGUUCAGCAGUUCCUGGGCGGGUGGCCCUUCCCAUCUGAGUACCCCUCAAUGUGCCUGCUCCUCCUGGGAUCCUUUCUGCUCCCUUGGGCCUCUGUUUUUGGUCUGCAAUGGUUGGUUAUGUAGAGGGAUCAGUAUUGGGGUUGUCCCAAGCCAGGCUACAGGUUGAGCAGGUAGCCACAUAGGCCACAUAGCAGGACGGGCCCAGCUGGGGACUCUGAUGUCUGCAAUUAGGGGUGGCAGGAAGUAAUGGAUGCACAGGCGCUGACUUGGCCUGGCCUUAAGCCUUAGUCUAGCGGAAAGGUCUGGCUGUUUACCUGCCUUCCUAUUUGGAGCUGAUCCCAGGACCAAACGGGAUGCCAUCGUACCAAGGGCAGGGAGAUGAAGGGAGGCCCUCAGAAGAGAAUGAGGCCUAAAUGCCAGGUAAAGGGCAGGAAGGGGUUCAAUCCCAGCAGCACCUCCUGGUGGUAGUUGGGGAAAUAAAAUGGCCAGAGAGGAGACUGGCCCUGAAGGCAUCUCCAGAGCUUGAGUCCCUCAGUAGCCAACCUGAGCUCCUAAACCCCUCUGGACUAGGUCCCCUUCUCCACUUAACCUGCCUCCUCAAGAAAG
rnacentral:lncRNA from 10 species